GCGCCGAUGGUUUAGUGGUAAAAUUCUCCGUUGCCAGCAGCGUCGGGGAGCCGGGGGUUCGAUUCCCCCUCGGCGCA
rnacentral:tRNA from 2 species